rnacentral:rRNA from 1 species
AGCGGUAAGGCCCUUUCGGGGGUACACGAGCGGCGAACGGGUGAGUAACACGUGGGUGACCUGCCCUCAGCUCUGGGAUAAGCCUGGGAAACUGGGUCUAAUACUGGAUAUGACCUCAUGACGCAUGUUGUGGGGUGGAAAGCCUUGUGCGGCUGGGGAUGGGCCCGCGGCCUAUCAGCUUGUUGGUGGGGUGAUGGCCUACCAAGGCGACGACGGGUAGCCGGCCUGAGAGGGCGACCGGCCACACUGGGACUGAGACACGGCCCACACUCCUACGGGAGGCAGCAGUGGGGAAUCUUGGGCAAUGGGCGAAAGCCUGACGCAGCGACGCCGCGUGGGGGAUGACGGCCUUCGGGUUGUAAACCUCUUUCAGCUCCGACGAAGCGUAAGUGACGGUAGGGGCAGAAGAAGCACCGGCCAACUACGUGCCAGCAGCCGCGGUAAUACGUACGGUGCAAGCGUUGUCCGGAAUUAUUGGGCGUAAAGAGCUCGUAGGCGGUCUGUCGCGUCUGCUGUGAAAACUCGGGGCUCAACUCCGAGCUUGCAGUCGAUACGGGCAGGCUAGAGUUCGGCAGGGGAGACUGGAAUUCCUGGCGUAGCGGUGAAAUGCGCAGAUAUCACGAGGAACACCGGUGGCGAAGGCGGGUCUCUGGGCCGAUACUGACGCUAAGGAGCGAAAGCGUGGGGAGCGAACAGGAUUAGAUACCCUGGUAGUCCACGCCGUAAACGUUGGGCGCUAGGUGUGGAUCCCUUCCACGGUUCGUGCCGAGCUAACCAUUAAGCGCCCGCCCUGGAGUAUGCCGCAAGCUAAACUCAACGAAUGACGGGG